rfam:Salmo salar isolate Sally breed double haploid chromosome ssa06, whole genome shotgun sequence.
GUUUCUGUGGUGUAGUGGUUAUCACGUUCGCUUCACACGGGAAAGGUCCCUGGUGCGAAACCGGGCAGAAACA